rnacentral:tRNA from 1 species
CCUCGAUAGUGGCUAAGUGGUAUAGCGUCUCACUAGUAAUGAGAAGAUCACUGGUUCGAUUCCAGUAAGGAGCA